AUGGUCCUGCUUUUUCUGGCAGCCUUGAUGGCACUGUCAGACUUUGGUCAUGCACAGGACUCUGUGCUGCAGUUUGCACAAGAAACUGCCAUCCAGGUGGGACACAACACUACUCUGCACUGCAAUUUCUCCACCAGCUUCUCUGCUUUCUACAUCUUCUGGUACCAGCAGUGCCCGAAUCAGUCCCCUCAGUUUUUGCUGCAGGUGAGCACGUACAAGUUUCAUGAGGAUUCCGGGAGGUUCUCCUCUGUGCUCUCCAUGGAGAACUCCCAGGUGCUUCUCCACGUGCAAGAUGCCAGGCUCCAGGACAGCGCUGUCUACCUGUGUGCACUGAGCCCACACUGGUGCCUGCAGCAUGCAGCUUUAUACAGGAAGGUGCGGGUGCUGUGAGGAGCAGCUCCCUCUCAUCACAGUUUGCAUGGAGCUCUGAGCUGAGCCUGCCCAGCAAGGACACGUGGGGCUUGUCAUGGGGCUGGCUCUCUCCCUACCUGGCCUGUGUAACAGGGACAAGUACUAUUAAGAACAUGCUGUGGUAUCUUUUACAGCUGUGUCUAUGUCCAGGGUCAUGGGGAAGGAAUCGAUAAGGCCAGCAAAGAGCUAUUGAGAGCUGCUGCAUGAACUCGUGAAAUUACCUGGGACUGGGAGUCAGCAUUAAGAAGACGCAUCUACUAACCUGCUUCCCACCGCCUACACUGACGACCACUGUUGGGGAAUGGGGCUCUUCUUGAGAGAUGCGAUCACUCUUGUGGUUUUACCGGCUAGGCAAAACAGCCUGGGGAGGGAAACUCCCUUCUCAACCCUACAUCUGGGCAUCAGCUAAACCCUCAGCAAGUGAAAAACCUCCAUCAGCUGGAGACUGGGGAAGACUCUCUGUUCACCACAGAGAGGUGUCUCAUUCCUUUUGAUACCAUCCUUCUGCUCUGGAGCAUCACCAGUGAAUGUCUAGAGGUGUUCCUGUGUCCCUGCAUCUGUGCUGGUUUCUCUGCCCAUC